UCAUCAGGAGGUUAAUUCUUACCUGUUCCUCCUCUCAGAUGGCAGAUAGAAAAUGAUGAUCCGGAGCUUGCAUGAUAUGCUGAUUAGCAUUUCCGUGUAACCAGGACCUGACAACAUCCUGGUUGCUCCUAUCUAAU